CCAAUGUCUCUGGAUUUGAUUUCUGUUCCGUCCUUGUGUUCGGCCAAAUUGCCUCCAUCACCCUUUUCUAGUAAUUUUCCAUCAGCAAGUUGCAAUUUCUGCUCAAGCUCCUUGACUUGCUUCUCUAGAAGUAUGAUUUCUUUUUCCCUAGCAUCAAGGUCUUCAAGGGAUUUCCUCAGAGCUGCUUCUCUUUCUAAAUCUUUUUGAGAAUUUCCCUCUUUCUGUUCGGUAAUGAUGCUUUGAGCAAGUUGUAAUUCACUCUGAAGCUUUAGAACUUGAUCAUUUAACAUAUCUCUAUCAUGGAUUUUCAGUACAUGAUCUUCUAGUUUCAAAGUUAACUCAGCUUCUCUUCCAGCAGCAGAUGCCUGAAUGUUUUCAACCUCUUCUUUCAGACGGGCCUCUGCUGUUGCCAAUUUUUCUUCAACUUCCUUGAGACGGUUUUGCAAUGCUGACUUCUCCACAAUCUCCAUCUUGAGAUUUUCAAUCUCAGAUUUUAGGGCAUCUUCAUUUGCUUUCUUCUCUUCACACUGGAUGAUCACUGACUGAAGUUCCUUCUUUACAUUUUGAUAAGAUUCAUUAAGAAGGUUGUUCUCUUCCAUAAAUGAAGAUAUCUGAGACUGUAGUCUCUGUCCUUCAUCAUUAAGAUGCUGAGUUAAAUUUUCUAUAGCCUUCUUUGAUGUGUGAAGCUGUUCUACUGUUUCAUCCUUCUCCAAAUUGGUUGCAGACAGUUUUGCCUCUAGAUCACUCAGUUUGGACUCAUAUGAGGAUAGUUCCUGAGUAAGCUUCAAAUUUGCCUCUGCUAACCCUGUACUCUCUUUUUCAAACUGACUUGACCUGGUUUGGAGUUCCUCAUAAUUUCAAAAUGUUUCAAUUUCAGGUGAGUCUCUUCCAGCUCAAGUUUUAGAGUUUCAGCUAUUGCAGAUGCUUCAUGAGCCUUUUCUUCAUAUAAUUUU
rnacentral:misc_RNA from 1 species